GUGUCAGCAGCCGCGGUAACACGUAGGGCGCAAGCGUUGUCCGGAAUUAUUGGGCGUAAAGAGCUCGUAGGUGGUUUGUUACGUCUGCUGUGAAAACCUAGGGCUUAACCCUGGGCUUGCAGUGGAUACGGGCAGACUAGAGGUAGGUAGGGGAGAAUGGAAUUCCUGGUGUAGCGGUGAAAUGCGCAGAUAUCAGGAGGAACACCGGUGGCGAAGGCGGUUCUCUGGGCCUUACCUGACACUGAGGAGCGAAAGCGUGGGGAGCGAACAGGAUUAGAAACCCCCGUAGUCC
rnacentral:rRNA from 1 species